AAUAGAUACCCGGUAGUCCACGCCCUAAACGAUGAAUGCUAGUCGUCGGGGUACUCGUUACUUCGGUGAUGCACUUAACAGAUUAAGCAUUCCGCCUGGGGAGUACGGUCGCAAGAUUAAAACUCAAAGGAAUAGACGGGGACCUGCACAAGUGGUGGAGCAUGUGGUUUAAUUCGAAGAUACACGAAGAACCUUACCUGGCCUUGACAUGGUAGGAACCCUUAAGAGAUUAGGGGGUGCUAGCUUGCUAGAACCUACACACAGGUGCUGCACGGCUGUCGUCAGCUCGUGUCGUGAGAUGUUGGGUUAAGUCCCGCAACGAGCGCAACCCUCGUCGUUAGUUGCUAACAGUUCGGCUAAGCACUCUAACGAGACUGCCUUCGCAAGGAGGGGGAAGGUGAGGACGACGUCAAGUCAUCAUGGCCCUUACGGCCAGGGCUACACACGUGCUACAAUGGGGCGUACAAAGAGCUGCAAUACCGCGAGGUGGAGCCAAUCUCUUAAAGCGUCUCUCAGUUCGGAUUGUUCUCUGCAAC
rnacentral:rRNA from 1 species